CAGUAAGAUACAGUGCCAAUGAUUGGUAAAUAAUACUAUCAUCUGUACAAUUCUGCUCUGCUUCCAGCUUUUAAGAUUUACAUAUCUGAAAAAUAUAAAACAUUUUUAUUUUCUGUUGAAAUUACAGGAGAAAGCAGUUUUGUUCCCCUUUUCAAUAUUAAACUGUCGUAGCCUCACACUUGCUAUGGUAGACUAAUAUGCUGCAUGCAACUUUCACCUUCAUAGAUAAUAUGUCGUUCAGUCACUUAGUUACAAUAUAUGUAAAGUUUUCAAGCGCUUUCUGCAAGACUGACAAAGGCGCGGAGACGGGACCUGAUGUUCUUGUAUUAAAACGCGCCACGACUCCACGACAGAGGGAGGGUUUCAAAAUAUUACAAACUACACGAAACACUACCAAAGGGGACGUUCAUAUCCCGUACUCCCACAAACCUUUGCAGCAGACCUUACAAUGAAAUUUAAGAAGUUUUUUUCGCGUUUCGGCGCCAUUUUCGAUUGGGCUGGAGUGUAAAAGCCUCUUUGCCCUGGAAGAAGUCCUUUGCAGGCGAGUUGAGGCCUGCUCUUAAGAUAAGAGGCCUGAGCAGGAUAGCUCCUUUUCGACGCGAGGAUUGUUUUCCAGAUUCAUCCCUCAAGCACGUUCUGAUGGUUUACGCAACAAUGUGACAGCGGGGACGUGUGACAUCGAGUUGACGGUGAGGGUUGUCAUGUUUCCUUUACGAUGAAUUCCUCCGGCAUCAGAAAAGUAGUAGUCUGAAAACGGUCAACAGCCGCAUUUAAAAUUUGUUUAAAAAAGAAUUUGAAAGAAUAAACCUGAUUGUUUUAGCAGGUUGAUUAUUCAAUAAAAGUGCAUUCAUAGUGUCUCAAUAUGUAUUGGUUGUUGUGAUCAGAGUGCGAGUGGUCAUCCUGCAUAUGCACUGGUAAAAAUAAAUUACAGAACAAAUCAAUUAGUGCAUAUGCUGUUAAUUUUGCUGUGACUAUCUUAGAUACAUCUAGAGGCAAUUUGACUAUGGUUCCUCUUACCAGAAUUGGGCUGAGUUGUGAACUGUAGUCAUAGCACUGUACUUUAUAGUGUAUGCCUGCAGCAACACCCUGUACCAAGAGGUGUAUAGACUUACAGUGGAGUACACUGGGACUUACUUUAAUAUGCCCAGUAAUAAUGCGGAGAUUAAUGGUUCACAUAAAUCAAAGCAGUUUACUUUGUGCUGUCUCUCUCAUAAUAAAAAUAAGUAAGAAUGCUCUUUGUUAUCAGAGCCAUUGUAUCAUUGGGCGUGUUUGCAUGCACGGUAAUAAUCUGAUCAUGGCCUGAUUAGGAAAUACUCUUGAUUAUAUAAACAGUCAUCUGAACAGCAUAGUCUCAUUUUCAAAAUCAGUAAUGAUUUUUGACCAAAUUAUUGAUGGAUGAAAACAUCGUGAGAAUGUAGGAUUUUCACAUGCGAAAGGUUGCAAGACGCAGUGAACCAUAUAAAUACAAUUCAGCCAUAUAAAUACUAUUCAGUUCAAACCAACAUGGUGUACAUGCAGUACUCAGAGCGGUGUGAGUAGUGGCAAUGCAAUUAUUAAUAUCAAUCAAUCAAUCAAUUUUUAUUUGUAUAGUGCUUUUAACAAAGGAGCUUUGUCACAAAGCAGCUUUACAGAGAACCGGCCCCCAAAGAGUAAGCCUAGAGCAACAGUGGCAAGGAAAAACUCCCUGACUGAUAGCAGGAAGAAACCUUGAGCAGAACCGGACUCAGAGGGGGAACCCAUCUGCCACAGGCAGGCACCGGUUUGUUAUAGAAAAAGUAAUAAUUUCUGGACAGAUGAAGAAACUCUUCAGAUUGCAUGAGUGGGUUAUUGCAUCAGUUCCGCAGACCUUAGGCCCUUUAUUAAAAGAAUCCAUAUAAACCAGGUUAUUAGAGAAAUCACGUUAUUCCGAACCGCAUGAGUGCAUAAUUGGAACAUUGCUUUAAACUGAUAACUCCCAAUAAUCAGGGUAUUGGUGUGCAUGCAAACGUAGCCACUGAAUAUAUUUGUUGAAUAUUUGUGAUCUGUUGAUAAACAAACUGUUUGCCACUCAGUGUAGAAGUAGCAUUUCAGAAGGUAUGGUGAGAUGACAUCCAGCAACAUCUCCUGUGGUACUUAUAGAUGCCUAAUAUGAAUAUGUAAAUUCCAUUUAAAAUGCAACACUCAAAUUCAAGCCAGUGAGCUAAAAGAUCACAAUAAAGAACGCCCCCUUUUACCAGUUCGAAACCUCCACCUUUUGGCUCAUUUUCUGUUGCAGCCUUUGCUUCUUCCCCCCCCCCCCGAUAGGUAAGCCUUGUUUCAGAUUAAGCCGGAGGCCACAGUGCCUGCAUCAUGUGCUUCACUAGAGGGAAACCUUUAAUAAAGGUAUUCCAUUUUCUAGCACCUAUUCAGUCCCCCACGGCUUUUCUCUCUGCCCAACCUGUUUCUGAAAGGAGGAACUCGUUAAUCCUGUCAUGUGGAGGUAGAGAACAUGGAAGUGGAGUGAACAGAGUGUUCAGGUCAGCUUCACGGCCGCCCUCCAGCGCUGUGCGAGAACGCCCCUCAGCCGCGCUCGAGGGAUAAAGUAGGACAAGCUGCUCCAACCUGGUACGACGAGAACUGCCGUCGUCACGCUAGCGAGUCGAGCUUGUAAUUUUAUCUCGCAAAAAAAAAAAAAAAGACAGCACAGGCAAUCUUUCGCGAGAGCCCGUAGGAUAUGGUGUUUAAUAUUUGACCCCCUCCGUGUCAGCAGCAGAUCCAGCCAUUUCCUUGUUUGCAUUACCGUCUGCACCUGUUACCUGUGUGGGUUGCUGGCUGGCUGCUCACAAAGGCGAAGCAGGUACAGCAGCCCUGGGAGACAGAGAUACUGACUUCUGCUCAUUCACUUGCUACUCUUUCCAGCCACACAGACCUCCAGCCAGUGUGAAGGAGCAGUCCUGACAGGGCUGUUCACAGGAGUAUUUUAGCAUCAGACCUGUGUUCAUAACAAGGUUGUAUGGUUUACCUCAAAAUAUUGCCCUUGAUGCAUUUACCUGAAGAAUUUCUCAGCAUAUCAAGCUACUGAGCAAGGUUGACAGAUCACUUACUAUCGCUUAGAUAUACUGAACAUCAAACACCGUUUAUGCUGUUUCAGCACUCUCAAUACUACAUUUCUUGAACAAAAGGAAUUUCUCUUGACAGUCUGAGUUCACUUCUGCACUUGACGGUUUUGCUAAAUGAAUGAGGGGUGAACUUGAGGGAGUAUGCUGACAGCUAAAUGGUCUUUGUUGGAAAUGGGAGCUCUGUAUGCUUACAGCUUAAAUGGACUUGGUUGGAUAGGACAUGCUACGCUAGGAAUGCAGUGACCAUGGGGGGUACCAGACAAACGGCUUCCCAAGCCAGGUCCAUUGUGCACAGGGGUCCCACUGGUGGCCGUUGUAGCAGCACGUCAUGGUUUGUUGUGAUAUGAAGAUACAGACUACGAGGUGCUGCCUCUGGGGCUCCAGCAUUUCUGUCUACCUGCCGCGGGGAGACGCAUCCUAACUGUGACGGUGAUUAGUGAUUGGACCACAGCACUUGAAGCGGUGGCCACGCACUCGUGGGUGGUACAAUAGCAGCACGUAAAUACUGGAGUUGAGCUGUAUCAGGUAUCCAGUGUUGUCGUUCUGCUCCAGUAAGGCCCGCCUGUAUCAACAUCUGUUCAUGACCUGCAUGUCGGCAGUGAUAGUGCACCUGCCCUGAGUAGCAUAUUGCCCAGAAACCUUUUUGUGUUUUUAUUUAUUUAAACUUGUGGAAAUAAUUCCGCAUUCGAUAAAUGGUGUGUAUUCUCUGCAAAGCUAUCACUGUUAGUCGUCACCAAAGUGGUACGAAAGGUCACUUCGGUGUUUUCCAAUGUGUAAUCACUGGUAGUGCGAGCAAUGACAACUCGAGAACCUGAGUAAGAGGGUCUGAAACAGUUACUGCUCUCAGCCCAGAGAACACUGCAUGCUUUUAAUCGCACAUAAUAGUCAUUAGGAGGUUACGCGUUGGCUAUGAUGCUUGAAAUUCCACACUAGCAUGCUGAAGUCAUCCACAGGCUAAUAGUGCAGGUCUUAUCCUAUGUUGGGUUCUUGUGAGUUACGGUAAUUGUUUUUACAAGCACCUAUGACCUAUGACUCAAUUUAAGUCAAGUUGGAAUUGCGCUGAAUAAUCAAUUUCACAGACCAAGCCUACAAGGACUGCCGGCAUCCAGAGCAAAAUGACCAUUCCGGUAAACUUCCAGCACCUGUUUCCUGUACAACCUCCACAACAAACCAACAAACUUAUACAGGUCAAAGGCAAAAAAAUGUGCAGAACUGGCAUGGACAGAAGUGCAAGAUGAGGAAGUUGUGAGGAGGGUUAAGUAUCUGACAGAUCCUGUUUAUCUGGAGACCCUGUGUACAGCUCAGAAAUCUUAGCUGCAGUAGGAAGAAGUGAUACAUUUUAGUGUUCCCAGUUUUUUUCCCUGACAAAUAUGGGGUCAGUCACAACUAUGAUAUACUGCUGCAAUAUUAAAUUUUGGGUGUUUGACACACCAAUAAUACCGGGAGAUAAUUAGGUUGCCAGGUUGAGGAAGCCGGUUAUGGAAUUUUGCACUGAGGAACGUCCUACUCUGAGUAAGUGCCAUGAGAUCUUUAAUGAUCACAGUGAUUCAGGACCUUGUUUUCACAUCUCAUCCAAAAGAUGCAAUCUCUUAAAGCGAAGUGCCCCAUCACAGUACUGGGGCAUUGGGGGUUGUUUCAGAAGGAAGACCUACAGCACUUCCAACAGGAACUUUUCCCAGGUCAUCUCCCACCUAAGUACUGACCAUUCCUCACACCUGCUUAAGUUCAACCAUGGCAUAAGCAUUGCAGUGAUUUUUGAGCUUACAACAAAAUUUCUGACGUGACCUAAUGCAAAUAUGAAAAGUGGGCAUUUUGUAUAAUUUAUUUUCAAAAUAUGUUCCUUGUUGAUGUUUUUCUACAGUAAAAAAAUAAAUACAGCAAAUAUUCAUAUUUGUGAAUCGUCUUGUGUAUUCACUGCAAACAAAGCAAAUACUGGUUAAACCAUUUUCAAUGUCUUUACAUUGUCAAACUAUACAAUUGAGUGCAACCGAUACAUCCAGCCAGUUGUGAUCAUAUUAAGGUGAAAUAAGUGCAUUACUGAGCUCGAUUACAGAACCAAGUGUUCAGAAACCGUGUAGAACAGGGGUGUUCAUAUAAGAUUGGGCACCCCUGGUGUAGAGCACUGGAGCCAGACUCCUAGAUCCCUGUUACUCAAAUCAUGGCCCACGAGGUCCAAGAACUGCUGGUUUUCCACCCUCCCUUUACCUGGGAGUCAGGCGUUGAAUACAUUUGGCCAAUCAGUACUUAUUAAACCAGGGCCGGAUUUGGAUUCAUGGUCCAGAUACGAGUAUCCAUGUUCUAGAGGGAUGCAGUACCUGCAGUGGCUUUUUGUAGGUUUCAGCUUUUAGGUGCUGAAUUUAAGUGACUGAUUGGCUUGGGACAGGGGGUAUCAAACUGAAUCCAAAGGGGGCCACAGUGUCUGCAGGUUCAUGUGUUUUCCUUUCAAUCAGCUGCCAAUUAAGGCCUUGAGAAGGUGUGCGAUUUCUUAGCCAAUUAAUGACUUAAAUGAAACGCUUGUGCCGAGAACAU